rnacentral:misc_RNA from 1 species
GUUUAUUCAUUAUCAUUAUAAAUUCAAGAUGGCCGCCGCUACAAAAUGGCGGAUAAUUUAUGUUUUAUUAAUCCCAUCAAUAUGGAUAUCAAAUGAAAGGGCUCAACAAGCAGAAUACAAUAUACUAUAAAAAAUUGAAAUACAAGAUGGCGGCCGCUACAAAAUGGUGGAUAACGUAGGUUUUAUCGAUCCCAUCAAUAUGGGUAUCAAAUGAAAGUGCUCAACCAGUAUAAUCAAUUUACUAUAUAAAAUUAAAAUCCAAGAUGGCGGCCUCUACAAAAUGGCGGAUAACUUAGGUUUUAUC